GCCAUGACGAGCAAAUCCAAAGCGAGGGAUGAGGACGCCAAACCGAAAAGAUUAGGAGCGAGGCGUGAGCAGCGUGGUGAGCAGGGGAGGCGAGGCUUGGCAAGAAGGAGGAGAGCAUAUCACAAAAGCGGGGGGGCUGGUUUUGGCAGAAGAAGAAAGGAGCGCUUGCGGGUUUUCUGGGUUUUGAAGGGUGAGGAGAGAACGCUCGAGGUUCGUUCAGAGAGAGAGGUGAGAGACGGCGAACAGAGAGUGAGAAGUGAGAGGUCCGAGCGACUGAGAAGAGCAAGAGACGGCAUCGCAGCCGCGGGCAGGCCCGUCCGACGACCUUUCCGGCGACGUCCUCAAGCCGAAUAGCGUGCAGCCACACUCAGAAAACAACCUGCUCUACAGCUCUUUCUUCUUCUUGAGAUGUCGAUAGUUCCUGAAGAAGAAAAGGAAUCCGUCUCCAUGAAGCAAGCCGAAGCCGAAGCAGAAGCCGAAGCCGAAGCAGAAGCCGAGCCCGAGUUCUCCUCCGAGAUGAGGAGGAUGAUAGAGGAAGUCUGUUCGGAUGUCUCUAAAUCGAUUGAUUCACCGGGUUUCUUGCUCAAAUUGAAGCAAAUCUCAGAUGAAUACGUGAGGGCCAUCACGGAGAACAACGGGACUAUAUCGAGGUGUUCAUACUAGCUCUUUCACACCAUCACGUGGGGUAUGAGCUUGGGAGAGCUCGUGAUCUCAUGGAAGGAACUCAUGAGAGGCUUGAUCCAAAAGGCGAGGUGAUGACGUUUUUUGGAACGCAAGCCGUGAGGGAACUCUCGUGAUCAGGUACCCCUAAACCUGACAUUUCCCCAUUUUCUCUCCUCAUGAUGAUGAGGGAUCAAGGGUGGUGAGAUCAGGUCGUGGCAUCCAUAUUUAUAAGAAAAUGUUUAUGAAAUAUGUUAUAACAAGUUCAUAAUCACAAUUAGUUGCUCCACGAGUUAACAUUAGAUGCAAAACAUGAGUUCCUGUUUUCCUAUGUAUUUAAACUCGCAGGCAUUUAGCUAGUUAGAAAAGUAAACAAGGUGCAGUAGGCAGAUGCAUUUCAUUGAAGAAGUGCGGGAGUUCGAGUCGAGUCAAGUCAAGUCAAUGAUCCCACUUCCUUUCGCAAUGGCAUAAGUGAGAUAGCUCGCAUGGGAGAAGUCAUAGGAAAAUCCUUCCAUUUCAUCUAUCCAACCUUUCGUUUGCUCUUAUAUCCUGAUAUCAAAUAAUUAAAAAAAAAAAUCAAUUAUAGAGAGUGAUAAUAUCGAAUUUAGCUAAUUAUUGGACCCACACCACAAUGUCCUUAUGUGAUCUAAUGUAUUACAUGCCUUGUCCGACGGGUCAAGGUAAUCCUUUGAUAAUGAGAUGUGUCAAGCGUCCUUGACGGGCCGUUCCUUGACAAAACCUCCACCUUGCAUAAAUACAAUGGAGUGAGCAAUGGUUUGUCCGCUACUCAAAAUUCAAGUGCUCGAUCUAAUGAACAUCCGUCAAAUGGGUGGAUUGGGUCAUGUCGAAAAUGUCCGACUCAAUUUGACUAAUUUUUAUUAAAUGCAAACCCGGAUGAUUGAGACGAGAUUCGGCAUUUUUGAACCACGAAACACUCGGUUUCCAUUUCAGUUGUAGGUGUAACCAACCUGCUAGGAAUGGGACGUGUCAUAACAAUUUGGCCUUAUAAUUGAGACCGCUGUGAUUGAUUGACUUAAAAGUGAGAUGUUCCAAUUGAUGAGUGCAAUUACUAUAUGCAUCUAUUAUAUGAAUUGUACUGACGUGCAUGAAGGUGCUGAGGCGAGGUGAGUCUUUUGUGAUAUGUGUAUAGGCUGCCUCUAGGCAUACUUCCUUCCUAAUUGGAGUUUAGGGCGUGAACUCGCUGAGACAUUGUCUCACCCCAUCGUGGGUUUCAAUCUUUUAAGGUCCUUAGAUGGAGGCAAGACUGGUUCGUUUUGGAUAGUUGCGGGGGUAUACCAAGCAUAGUAUCGACUAUCCUAUCCCCGGGAGUCCUUGGCUCCAUGAGCUCAUCAUGACCACUAAAUUGGUCAAUGAGGGCCUACCACAGUUGGUACCUCAUCAAUUCAAGAUGUGGUUUCGUCAUGGGCCUAAUGGGGUGCGGGAAUGUCCCCUUCAAGGUUUCGACAUACCCACCGUUGAGGGCGAGGGGGUAGCUGACCCACUUGACGGUGUUGUGAUAGAUCCAAAUCCCAAGUAGAUAAGGUUCGAGAUAAGGUUAGCUCGGUAGUCUCUUUUGUUUAUAGACUCUUGUGUAUAAACCUGGUGUAUUUAUAAAAGUGUGUUUG